UUUGUACAACACUAAAACUGUCAAUCGAAUAGAAGUUAGAAUUGACUCGCCCGCAAGCAUAUGCGUAUUAUUUAAAUUUAAUCAUGAAAAUAUCAAGUGCAAAGAAUUUACCGGAGGAACAAGGCGGAUCUUCGCAAGGGUCAUUUAUUGACACCAAUUCUAUCAGCGGCGACUCGGACAUAGACGCUGCUAGUGUAGCGGGUGAUCGAAAUCAGAUGAUUGAAGAACUAAAGAAAACGAUAAAGGGGAAUCACAGCCAAAUCUCGGAACUCGAGGGUAAAUUGAAAGUUACUGAAAUACAAUUAGAGUGUCAGAAAGAUAAAGUCAAGGACAAGGACGAGGUAAUUAGAGUACUGCAAAACUCUAUUGACCUGAUCACAAAAACAAGUGAACUAGCAAUAAAACAAUUGCAGAAGUCCGAAGCUGAAGUUGUCACUUGUAAUAAUGGUAAUAAUUUGCAAAAAGAGAAUGAUUCACUCGAAUCUAUAGAUGAAAUGAAAUCAAAAGUUAAAGAAAAUAAUGUGGACAAUUUCGGAGCUCAGGAAUUGCAGGAAUCGAAAUGCCAAGCCAAAGAAGAUUCUGCUGAUUCCCACGAAGUGGACGAUAAUUUAGAGAAAUUCCAGGAACAAUUUGAUAAAUACAAAGAACAAAAUGAGUCACUAGAGUUGAAAAAUUCUCAAAUGAAGCUCGAACUUGACGAAUUGAAAUCUAAAAUGAUUAAAUCCCAAAAGAUUGAAGAUAGUCUAAGGAAGCAAGUUUCUGAACUAGAAAAUAAUUUCCUCGGCGUUUCUGCUAAACUCAAGGAAAGUAGUCAAAAACUCGCUGAUAGUGUUCCAAACAAGCAAGAAGCCGUGCCUCUAAAUAAUACCAAAAAUCCAAAAAUGAAAGUAAUUGAACAAGAUGGCAUGGAGCCCUUUAUGGCGGUGAUUGAGGAUAUUCCCUCGGCUUGGUCAUCCGGUUGGAUAGUUAUUCAACGGCGUAUCAAUGGAAACUCAAGUUUGUCUGCAAAAAGAACUGAUUUUGAAAAUGGAUUUGGGAAUACAAACGCAAGCUUUUGGCUUGGCUUAAACCUAAUACACAAAUUAACAAAAAGCCAACGGCAUGAGUUAUACAUUCAAGUUGUGGAUCACGAUGACGUAACUGCAUAUGCAAGGUAUGAUCACUUUGAAGUUGGAAGUAAGAAGGAAGAAUACAAGAUCAAGUCUCUUGGUUCAUAUUCGGGAAACGCUGGCGAUGCUUUCCGGAGUCUUGAGAACGCUCCUAUUAAGGCUUGGGAUUGCGGAACUACAUACAGUUAUUCCUGGUGGGAAGCCACACCGAUGAAUUGCAACUUGAACGGUAUGUAUAAUACACCGCAGAAGUACGGAUUUUAUUGGGGCCGCUUGUCUCUGGGGAAUAAGGAAUGUCAUCUAAAGUCCUGUCAAAUGUUGAUAAGGCCAAGAAGCAAGUAAUCCUAAUAUUUGACCCACAAAUUUUCUAACAAGUUAAGUUGAAUGUUUUUGAUAAGUUAAAUUGUCCCCAGUGGCUUUCAACAACCAAUGUGCCACGGUCAAUGUGAACCUGCUUAAGUUUAAUUUACGAUAAAUAAGAUUUAAAAACCUAUUUCUAUGAAAGAAACUGUUAAAUUAAGAAAAAAAACAACAUCUUUAAUUUGUACUUCAUAAAGAGGAUACAUCCAUUAAAUUUCGAAUAAAUCGAAUGAGUUCGAAUAAGUCCCUAAGCGAAUAUGUUUAAAAACCAUGAAGUUAUAAUUUUUGUUCCAUUCAUCCAAGAAAAUAAACUUAAAAAAGAUUAAAUUUUAUUUGUCUAAUUAAAUUUCCAAUUAUAAUAAAAUAUUCUAGCCAACGUAAUUUUCAAUUUAAAAAUCGGUCACACCUUGAAUUUAAAAACAAAUACAUAGUUAAGCUGGUGCACUAAAAUGGAGAAUGUGUUACAAAAGCGUUAGCCACUUCCCGCUUAGCAAAAUUGAUUCAUCUGUUAUUUGGCACCGGAUCCGCCAGCGUCUCCUCGAUCAAGAGCGGCGAGCUCCAGCGCAUCAGGAAGUACGCGGAACCAGACUUGUCAUUCGUCCCGGACAACCGGUUGCCGCCGAAGGGCGUCAAUCCAAGGUGGCUGCCAGUGCAGCGUUCGUUCACAUAGAGAUUGCUGGCCGACAUGCGCAGCUGGUUGAGACAGUGAAGAAUCACCUCGUCCCGCUUGGCGAAUAUGGAUCCGGAGAGAGCAUAUCUGGACUGGUUGGCGGUCAGCUUGAGGGCAUCUGCGAAUGAGUCGUCCGGGUAGACAAAGACCGGCAAAAAGGGUCCGACAAAGGGUUUGCUUAGCAGCGGGUCCAAUGGAUCGUCCACCCUGACUAUCGUCGGCUGGACAAACCUUCCUAUGGUGUCGUCGUUGUAUUAAAAUACCAGUACUUUCUUUGGUGCGGCCACACUACUCAUCGAAGGAAAAUACCAAAUAUUUAAAUUAUUUUAAAUAUUUUAAAUUUGAGUGAUUUAGCUUUCUAGAAUAUAAGACAUUAUAGGGCUUACUUUAACAUGCUUAGAAAACUAUUCUUGGGUAUUUAUUUUUCUUUGACUUAAUGAAGAAAAUGCAGCACUGUCAGAAUAUUCAUCGAAAAAAUACCCGAUGCACUUAUAGUUCGAUUACAUAUGUAAGUCGUUGUACAACACUAAAACGUGUCAAUCGAAGUAAGAAAUUGCAAUUGAAAUAUUUAAACAUGAAAAUAUCAAGUGCAAACAAAUUACCGGAGGAACAAGGCGGAUCUUCGCAAGGGUCACUUAUUGACACUAAUUCUAUAAGACAUAUUUGCAUAGUUUAUCCCCAAAAACCUAAUUUCGAAUUUCAGAUCAGCGGCGAGUCGGACAUAGACGCUGCUAGUGCAGCGGGUGAUCAAAAUCAGGUGAUUGGAGAACUAAAGAAAACGAUUAAAGAGAAACAAAGCCAAAUCUCGGAACUCGAGGGCAGAUUGAAAGUUACUGAAAUACAAUUAGAGUGUCAGAAGGAUAAAAUCAACUUAUACGAAGUUAUAGUCAAGGACAAGGACGAUGUAAUUAGAGUACUGCAAAACUCAAUCGACCUGAUCACAAAAACAAGUGAACUAGCAAUCAAACAAUUGCAGAAGCCCGAGGCGGGAAUUGUCAGUUGUAAUAAUGCUAAUAAUUUGCAACAAGAAAAUGAUUUACUGGAAUCUAUAGAUGAAAUGAAAUCAAAAGUUAAAGAAAAUAGUGUGGACAAUUCCGAAGCUCAGCUGCAGGAAUUCGAAUGCCAAGCCAAUGAAGAUUCUGCUGAUUCCCACGAAGUGGACUAUAAUUUAGAUAAAUUCCAGGAACAACUUGAUAAAUGCAAGGAAGAAAAUGAGUUAUUAGAGUUGAAAAAUUCUCAACAGAAGCUCGAACUUGACGAAUUGAAAUCUAAAAUGAUUGAAUUUCAAAAGAUUGAAGAGGGUCUAAGGAAGCAAGUUUCUGAACUAGAAAAUAAUUUUCUCAGCGUUUCUGCUAAACUCAAGGAAAGUAGUGAAAAACUGGCUGAGUAUAGCUUAAACAUUGAUAGCUCUUCAGACAAGCAAGAAAUCGUGCUGCUAAAUAAUUCCAAAAAUCCAAAAGUGAAGUUAAUUGAACGAGAUGGCUUGGAGCCCUUUAUAUCGGUGAUUGAGGAUAUUCCGUCGGCUGGGUCCGGUUGGAUAGUUAUUCAACGACGUAUCGAUGGAAAGUCAAGGUUGUUUGCAAAUGGUAAAGAUGUUUUUGAAAAUGGAUUUGGGGAUACAAACGCAAGCUUUUGGCUUGGCUUAAACCUAAUACAUAAAUUAACAACAAGCCAACGACAUGAGUUAUACAUUCAAGUUGUGGAUUGCGAUGACGUAACAGCUUAUGCUAGGUAUGAUCACUUUGAAAUUGGAAGUAAAGAGGAAAACUACAAGAUAAAGUCUCUUGGUUCAUAUUCGGGAAACGCUGGCGAUGCCUUCCGAAGUCUUGAGAACGCUCCUAUUGAGACUUGGGAGUUUACUGAUGGAUACAGUUAUUCCUGGUGGGGAGCCACACCGACGAAUUGCAACUUGAACGGUUAUCAUAAUUACUUGAGCGAGUACCGAUUUUAUUGGGGCCGUUUGUCUCUGGGGAAUAAGGAAUGUCAUCUAAAGUCCUGUCAAAUGUUGAUAAGGCCAAAAACAAAGUAAUCCAAAUAUUUGACUCACAAAUUUUAUAACAAUUAUUCGCAGUAAUUAUGCAUAAGUCUUAUAAAUGUUUCAAGUUAAGUUAAUGUGCCACUGUCAAUGUGAACCUGCUUAAGUGUAAUCUAUGAUAAAUAAGAUUCAAAAACUAUUGUUAUGAAAUAAGCGGUUAAAUUAAGAAAAAAAAAAACAUCUUUAAUUUGUACUUCAUAAAGAGAAAACAUCCAUUAAAUUUAGAAUAAGUCGAAUGAGUUCGAAUAAGUCCUUAAGCAAAUAUGUUUAAAAACCAUAAAGUUUUAAUUUUUGUUCCAUUUAUCCAAGAAAAUAAACUUAAAAAAGAUUAAAUUUUAUUUGUCUAAUUAAAUUUCUAAUUAUAAUAAAAUAUUCUAGCCAACGUAAUUUUCAAUCUAAAAAUCGGUCACACCUUGAAUUUAAAAACAAAUAGUUAAGCUGGUGCACUAAAAUGGAGAAUGUGUUACAAAAGCGUUAGCCACUUCCCGCUUAGCAAAGUUGAUUUACUAUUAUCUGUUAUUCCGGACGGGAUCCGCCACCGUCUCCUCGAUCAGCAGCGGGGAGCUCCAGCGCAUCAGGAAGUACGCGGAACCGGACUUGUCAUUCGUCCCGGACAAUCGGUUGCCGCCGAAGGGCGUCAAUCCCAGGUGGCUGCCAGUGCAGCGUUCGUUCACAUAGAGAUUGCUGGCCGACAUGCGCAGCUGGUUGAGGCAGUGAAGGAUCACCUCGUCCCGCUUGGCGAAUAUGGAUCCGGAGAGAGCAUAUCUGGACUGGUUGGCGGUCAGCUUGAGGGCAUCUGCGAAUGAGUUGUCCGGGUAGACGAACACCGGCAAAAAGGGUCCAACAAAGGGUUCGCUCAGCAGCGGGUCCAGUGGAUCGUCCACUCUGACUAUCGUCGGCUGGACGAACCUUCCUAUGGUGUCGUCGUUGUAUUAAAAUACCAGUAUUUUCUUUGGUGCGGCCACACUACUCAUCGAAGGAAAUUAGCAAAUAUAUAAAUUAUUUUAAAUAUUUUAAAUUUGAGUGAUUUAGCUUUCUAGAAUAUAAGACAUUUUAGGGCUUACUUUAAUAUUUUUAGAAAAAUAUUCUUGUGUUUUUAUUUUUACUUGAAUUUUUGAAGAAAAUACAGUACUGUCAGAGUAUUCACGAAAAAUACCCGAUGCACUUAUAGUUCGAUUACAUAUGUAAGUCUUUGUAAACACUAAAUCGUUUCAAUCGAAUAGAAGUGAGAAUUGCCAGCGAGCCAAGCAUAUUUAAUAUUAUUUAAACAUGAAAAUAUCAAGUGCAAACAAUUUACCGGAGGAACUCAGCGGAUCUUCGCAAGGGUCGUUUAUUGACACCAAUUCUAUCAGCGGCGACUCGGACAUAGACGCUGCUAGUGCAGCCGGUGAUCAAAAUCAGGUGAUUGGAGAACUAAAGAAAACGAUUAAAGAGAAUCAAAGACAAAUCUCGGAACUCGAGGGCAGAUUGAAUGUUACUGAAAUACAAUUAGAGUGCCAGAAGGAUAAAGUCAAGGACAAGGACGAGGUAAUUAGAGUAUUGCAAAACUCAAUCGAACUGAUCACAAAAACAAGUGAACUAGCAAUUAAAGAAUUGCAAAAGUCCGAAGCAGUCGCUUGUAAUAAUGGUAGUCAUUUACAAAAAGAAAAUGAUUUACUCGAAUCUAUAGAUGAAAUCAAAUCAAAAGUUAAAGAUAAUAAUGUGGACAAUUUCGGAGCUCAGCUGCAGGAAUUCGAAUGUCAAGCCAAACAAGAUUCUGCUGAUUCCCACGAAGUGGACGAUAAUUUAGAGAAAUUCCAAGAACAACUUGAUAAAUGCAAAAAACAAAAUGAGUUAUUAGAGUUGAAAAAUUCUCAACUAAAGGUCGAACUUGACGAAUUGAAAUCUAAAAUGAUUGAAUCCCAAAAGAUUGAAGAGGGUUUAAGGAAGCAAGUUUCUGAACUAGACAAUAAUUUUCUCAGCGUUUCUGCUAAACUCAAGGAAAGUAGUGAAAAACUGGCUGAGUUUAAGCUAUUCAGUGAUAGCUUCCCAGACAAGCAAGAAACCGUUGUCCUAAAUAAUACCAAAAAUCCAAAAUUAAAAGUAAUUGAACGAGAUGGCUUGGAGCCCUUUAUUUCGGUGAUUGAGGCUAUUCCAUCAGCUUGGUCAUCCGGUUGGAUAGUUAUUCAACGGCGUAUCAAUGGAAACUCAAGUUUGUCUGCAAGUAGAACUGAUUUUGAAAAUGGAUUUGGGGAUAUAACCGCAAGCUUUUGGCUUGGCUUAAACCUAAUACACGAAUUAACAACAAGCCAACGGCAUGAGUUAUACAUAAAAGUUGUGGAUUGCGAUGGCGUAACAGCAUAUGCUAGGUAUGAUCACUUUGAAAUUGGAAAUAAAGAGGAAAAUUAUAAGAUCAAGUCUCUUGGUUCAUAUUCGGGAAACGCUGGCGAUGUUUUCCGAAGUCAUGAGAGCGCUUCUAUUAAGUCUUACAAUAAUGGACAAUACUGGCAUUCCUGGUGGGAAGCCUCACCGACGAAUUGCAACUUGAACGGAAUGUAUAAUACAUCGGACCAGUACGGAUUUUUUUGGGGCCGUUUGUCUCUGGGAAGUAAGAAUUGUCAUCUAAAGUCCUGUCAAAUGUGGAUAAGGCCAAAAAUCAAGUAAUCCAAAUAUUUGACUCACAAAAGGUCAAACAAUUAAUUCAGCAUAAGUCUUAUAAAUAUUUCAAGUUAAGUUAAAUGUUUUGAUAAGUUAAAUUGUCCCCAGUGGCUUUCAACAACCAAUGUGCCACGGUCAAUGUGAACCAUGCUUAUGUUUAAUCUACGAUAAAUAAGAUUCAAAAACCUAUUUUUAUAAAAGAAACUGUUAAAUUAAGAAAAAAAACAACAUCUUUAAUUUGUACUUCAUAAAGAGGAUACAUCCAUUAUAUUUAGAAUUAGUCGAAUGAGUUCGAAUAAGUCCCUAAGCGGAUGUUUAAAAACCAUGAAGUUAUAAUUUUUGUUCCAUUUAUCCAAGAAAAUAAACUUAAAAAAGAUUAAA